rnacentral:lncRNA from 1 species
GUUUAUGCAAACAUCAAAUGUAGCAUCCCACAUGGCAGCAGCAGAAAGGCACUGGGGUAGAAGAUGAGUGAUAAUGAGGUUAUCCCGGAAUGCAGUUGGUUGGCUGGCAUGCAAAGAAUGAACAUGAUGGCCGAGGGAGGCUUCACCUGUACCAGUGUUUGGAAUGUCCCGUUCUGUGUCGUCCUGGAAGUUUUUACACCAUAAUUCAGUUCACAGUGUGUGAGAGGUUGGUUUCCAACUCCUGGCCUCAAGUGAUCCUCCUGCCUCAGCCUCCAAAGCGGUAUGAUUGCAGACAUGAGCCACUGUGCCCAGCUGAGGUUAUUUUCUAUGUAAAUCUUGAUGUUCUGGAAUUGGCGUUCUGUUUUUCCUCUGUUAAUAUAUGUUUGGAGGUGGUGAUUAAAUCUACGAUUGCAUCCAUAAUGUGA